GAUGAACGCUGGCGGUGUGCCUAAUACAUGCAAGUCGAGCGAACAGACGAGGAGCUUACUCCUCUGACGUUAGCGGCGGACGGGUGAGUAACACGUGGAUAACCUACCUAUAAGACUGGGAUAACUUCGGGAAACCGGAGCUAAUACCGGAUAACAUGUUGAACCGCAUGGUUCAACAGUGAAAGACGGUCUUGCUGUCACUUAUAGAUGGAUCCGCGUCGCAUUAGCUAGUUGGUAAGGUAACGGCUUACCAAGGCAACGAUGCGUAGCCGACCUGAGAGGGUGAUCGGCCACACUGGAACUGAGACACGGUCCAGACUCCUACGGGAGGCAGCAGUAGGGAAUCUUCCGCAAUGGGCGAAAGCCUGACGGAGCAACGCCGCGUGAGUGAAGAAGGUCUUCGGAUCGUAAAACGCUGUUAUUAGGGAAGAACAAAUGUGUAAGUAACUAUGCACGUCUUGACGGUACCUAAUCAGAAAGCCACGGCUAACUACGU
rnacentral:rRNA from 1 species